AAUAUUGGACAAUGGGGGCAACCCUGAUCCACCCAUGCCGCGCGUGUGAAGAAGGUCUUCUGAUUUUAAAGCACUUUAAGUUGGGAGGAAGGGCUUUAGCUUAAUAUCCUGAAGUUUUCACGUUACCCACCGAACAAUCACCGGCUAACCUUGUGCCAGCAGCCGCGGUAAUACAGAGUGUGCAAGCGUUAAUCGGAAUUCCUGGGCGUAAAGCGCGAGUAGGUGGUGCAGUAAGAUGGGUGUGAAAUCCCCGGGAUUAACCUGGGAACAGCUUUCAUAACUGCUGAGCUAGAGUACGGUAGAGGGUAGUAGAAUUUCCUGUGUAGCGGUGAAAUGCGUAGAUAUAGGAAGGAACACCAGUGGCGAAGGAGACUACCUGGACUGAUACUGACACUGAGGUGCGAAAGCGUGGGGAGCAAAC
rnacentral:rRNA from 1 species